ACUCAUCUACGUGAAUCAUCGAAUCUUUGAACGCACAUUGCGCUGGCAGUAAUUUGCCAGCAUGCCUGUUUGAGUAUCAUCUACCCUCACCGCGUGGCCUGCUGAAAAGCAGCGCUUGUGCGCGGUUGAAUCUGAAGGCCUGCCGAACAUUUGUUUGCGCAGCCUUUGAAGUUGAUUACGCGCGCGCCUGGUUUUGUCAGAGUCUCGUACUUCGCCGAUUCGUCGGCAGUUCCUUCUGCAUCACCGAGGCCUGCGCGCACACACACACCACGAGGUUCGGCCUCCCAGUGUUGAUCUCAAAUCAAGCAAGAUUACCCGCUGAACUUAAGCAUAUCAAUAAGCGGAGG
rnacentral:rRNA from 1 species